GGGGGAGGGAGGGAAAGGAAGAGAAAGGUGUUUGGGCUUUGUUCAUUUUUUUUCUGAGGUGCGAAACAGCUUGAUAGUCUGAGGUAAUCAUAUCUUACAUUUUUAAACUAUUGCCUAUUUAUGAUCAUAUUGCGACUAUGGUGUGGGGAUUUGUUUUAAUACGAGCAUUUAAAAUUAGCAAUAGAUGAGACAGCAAAAAAGGUGCAACUAUUGUCCUUUCUCAUGAGUUUCUACUCUGGAUAACUCCUGCUAAGAAGGAAACUUGCAGUUUGGUCUGUGUAUCCUGUUUGGGUGAGAUCAGGUGCUCUUAACGUGCUUUUUUUUUUUUUAUUAACAUAGAAGUACCAGAAAAUUUUGGUCAUCAAAUGCAUAAAUUAGGAACGAAACUGGCCUUAUUUUUAGACAAUCUGUCUUUCAGCUUAAUUUUAUGCGAAGUGACUCUGAUUGGAUACUGCCUUUUGGAAUGUAGUGUACGUGUGUAACCUGCCACUCGGUAACCAAGAAGUUUUUUCAAUGACUACAAUAUAUGAAUUUGUAAAUAAGUUUUAAGGGUUUUUUUUUUUCUUUAUAUGAUGUUUGCUGUUCAGACUUUGUCAUAGGAGACAAAUUUCUGUCGGAGUAUCAUGUUCCCCUAAAUCCUCUGUGGAUUUUUGUAACUAUGCCUGAACUUAAAAAAGAAAAAAAAGGGAGCCUGACAGAACACUAGGUGACUAGGAACUUUAUAUUUAAAGAAGUAUCUGUUUGCUUUAUCACUUUUAUUUUGUUUCCAUUGUCAUUAAUAAACAACUGCCUCCUUUGCUCUGAA